UAUACUUGGAGUUAUAUUGUGUUGUUUAAGUGUUCCCAUUAUUACUAUUUUUUGAGCAGUGUAUUUAUGUGUAAUAUUUCAGCAGGCCUCUGGGUGGCGCUGUAUGCAGUUGGUGGAGUGGUUGGAGUUUGUGGGCUUGCAGCUUUUCUUACUGGACUUUUCUGCAUUAGGAGACAGAAGAAGCAGGAUGUGAAUAUGGAUGAGGACAUCUACCAGAAUGUUGGAGAUAUCUCUUGUCCUCCUGAUGAAGAUUCCUCCAGUACUCAUGUUUAUGGGAAUGUAGAGGUGAGUUUUCAUUACUGGGCUUUUAUAAUUCAAUUUUAGAGCAUCUACUGAUGUUCUCUUUCUCUCGGUUCUGCAGAGUGUUGGACAUAAAGCUCCUGAUGAUGAUGAUGAUGAUGAUGAUGACUACUCCAGUAUUGCUGAUUACGAGAAUAUGGACGGCACUGUUAAAAAAUGGUAACGUAAAAAAAGUUACAAACUUGUUGGAGCUGCAAAA
rnacentral:lncRNA from 1 species